AUGGCUCAGGAUGAACGCUAGCGGCAGGCUUAACACAUGCAAGUCGAGGGGCAGCGGGAUGUAGCAAUACAUUGCCGGCGACCGGCGGAUGGGUGCGUAACGCGUAUGCAACCUACCUAUACAGGGGAAUAACCUUUCGAAAGGGAGACUAACACCCCAUGGUAUUGAUUUAAGGCAUCUUAGAUUAAUUAAAUAUUUAUAGGUAUAAGAUGGGCAUGCGUAUGAUUAGCUAGUUGGUAAGGUAACGGCUUACCAAGGCGACGAUCAUUAGGGGUUCUGAGAGGAAGGUCCCCCCACACUGGUACUGAGACACGGACCAGACUCCUACGGGAGGCAGCAGUGAGGAAUAUUGGUCAAUGGGCGCAAGCCUGAACCAGCCAUGCCGCGUGCAGGAAAAGACGGCCUUAUGGGUUGUAAACUGCUUUUACAUAAGACUAACCGUAUAUUUGCGAAUAUACCUGAAUGUAUUAUGAGAAUAAGGAUCGGCUAACUCCGUGCCAGCCGCAGC
rnacentral:rRNA from 1 species